rnacentral:tRNA from 1 species
UCUUUGAUGGUCUAACGGUCAUGAUUUCCGCUUGUCAUCCAAGACAAGUCGCGGGAGAUCGGGGUUCGACUCCCCGUCAGAGAG